GUAGGUGAACCUGCGGAAGGAUCAUUAGUGAAAAAAACUUGGUCGAGCUGUUGCUGGUCCUUCGGGACAUGGUGCACGCUUGCCACCAAUUUUAACCACCUGUGCACCUUUUGUAGACUUGGAAACGUUUCUCGAGGCAACUCGGAUUGAGAACUGCUGCGCGCAAGCCGGCUGUUCUUGUGUUUCCCAGUCUAUGUUUUCAUAUACUCCAAAUGUAUGUAUCGGAAUGUAUUGCUGGGCCUUUAGUGCC
rnacentral:misc_RNA from 1 species